AAUCCAUGGUGAGGACAUUCUCUACGAUAGUCAUUGAAGCGCUCCCAUGCGUCGCAGAAAGGCCCAUCAGUGAGUUGUCUGAAGUAGUUGUUCCUCAAUGUAGUU
rfam:Brassica napus, WGS project CCCW01000000 data, contig: 205